AUACUGGGAGUACUGGGACCCCCUGGGACCUUGAGGGGGGCAGUGGGGAGCCACUGGGUGUCACUGGGAGCAUGUGGGGGGAAUUGGGAGUCACUGGGAACGUGAGGGGUUGGUUACUGGGAGUUACUGGGAGCCCCUGAGACCUUCAGGGGGAGAAUGGGGUGAUACUGGGAGUACUGGGAGCCCCUGGGACCUUGAGGGGGGCAACGGGGAGCCACUGGGAGUCACUGGGAAUAUGAAGGGACGAUUACUGGGAGUCACUGGGAGCCCCUGAGACCUUCAAGGGGGAGAAUGGGGAGAUACUGGGAGUACUGGGAGCCCCUGGGACCUUGAGGGGGGCAACGGGGAGCCACUGGGAGUCACUGGGAAUAUGAAGGGACGAUUACUGGGAGUCACUGGGAGCCCCUGAGACCUUCAAGGGGGAGAACGGGGAGAUACUGGGAGCCACUGGGAGUGUGCUGGAGAACUGGGAGUCCCUGGGAACAUGAGGGGGCAGUUACUGGGUUGGGCGUAAGGGAGAGUAGACCCUGACUGGGGGUUACUGGGAGGUACUGGGGAUAGGGGAGUACUGGGAGCUACUGGGAGUUACCGGGGGUGGGAGCUUUACUGGGACCGUGGGGGGGGGAGCAGGCCUUCUGUGGGGGUUACUGGGAGGUACUGGAACUGGGGCUAGGGAGCUACUGGGAGUUACUGGGGCCGCGGGUGGGGUUACUGGGGCUUAACUGGGAGUCGUGUGUCCGUCCCCGCAAGGUGCCACCGAUGGCCGAGAGUCACCCGGAGCCGCCGGGCACUGGUCUGCGGGGCCUCGUCCCCCCAUGGCACUUCGUGCUCCGCCCCGCCGGCCCCAGCACCAGGCCCCUGGAGGCGGAGCUUGAGGCCGAGAGGAGGCGUGGCCACACCUUGGAGGCGGAGCUUGAGGCUGAGAAGGGGCGUGGCCAAGCCUUAGAGGCGGAGCUUGAGGCUGAGAAGGGGCGUGGCCAAGCCUUGGAGGCAGAGCUUGAGGCUGAGAAGGGGCGUGGCCAAGCCUUGGAGGCAGAGCUUGAGGCUGAGAAGGGGCGUGGCCAAGCCUUAGAGGCGGAGCUUGAGGCUGAGAGGAGGCGUGGCCAAGCCUUGGAGGCGGAGCUUGAGGCUGUGAGGGGGCGUGGCCAGGCUCAGGGGGCGGAGCCUGAUGGGGAGCAGCCCCUGGAGGAGUGCCAGGCCCAGGUGCUGCUCCAGGCCCGGCUCAGCGCCCUCGGCCACAUCCUGACCCUGCAGGAGCGAGAGCUGGGCCACGAGCUGCCCCCCGCCGAGGUCCCCGUGGCGGUGGCCCCCCCAAGGCUGCAGAGGCUCCUGGGGCGCUGGCGGGAGAAGGUCUUCGCCCUCCUGGUGCAGCUGCGGGUGCAGGAGGAGGCGCAGCGGGUGCUGCGGGCGCAGGUGGGGACGCUGGGGGCAGCGGUGGCAGCGGGGACACGCCGCGUGACGCGGCUGGAGCUGAGCCUGCGUGAGAGGGCGGCCACCGCCGAGCUGCAGCGUCGGGACACCGAGCGCCUGGCGCGGGAGGUGACGCGGCAGCGGGGCCGAGCAGAGGCGGCUGAGGAGGCACUGAGGGGACUGGCCCGGGCGGCUGCCAGGCUGGCCAGGGUGGUGACAGCACGCGAGGCCGAGGUGGCAGCGGCCACCAGCACCAUGGUCACCCUCAGCGCCCGCCUGCGCCGGGCAGGACAGCGGCUCCGCGUCCUCCGGGGGCUGGUGGCUCCGGUGGUGGCCUUGGACCGGCCGCAGUGGCAGCAGGACCCAGCGGGGGACGACCUGGUGGCCAAGGUGACAGGCAGCAGCCGUCUGCUUUCGGGGACAAUGGCCGGUGUCCGACGCAGCGCGGUGGCCUUGGGGGUGGCUGAUGAGGUGACGCGCAGCCCGGUGACAACGGACGAGGUGACGUGGGACAAGCGGCGCUGGGCUCCCUCGUGACGCAGCUGCAGGCCCUGGGCGCCGCCAUCCUCGGGGACGAUGGGGACAGCAGUGACAGCGGGGACCCCCCCUGACCCGCCUGCAGACCCAGGCAUCCGGCUCCGGCUCAGGUUAUGGCUAACACAGCUCGUGCCGCGGGGGACACAGAGGGGACGUGGGGGACACCAGCUCCGCGCCGGAGGAAGGAUGAGCGCUCGCGCCAUCGCCUGGGCAACUCGUUUUGCUCAUAAACGCCCAAAUUAACAAAGGAACGAGCUCUGAGUGAUGAAAUUUCACGAUUCGAGCGGUGAAUGAGCGAAUCCAGGAAGCGUUGCCCUCCUGGAUGACCGAGGGGAAAGCUGGCCUCGAACCUUCGUCCUUCGGGAAGUCUCCACAUAGAAAGGGGCAGCGAGUGUUCCUGGGAGGUGUCAUCACCGGAGAAGAUGUGGAGAACAUCUAGAAAAGGCAAGAACCUUCACGGGAUGGACAACCCUAACCCCGCCGUGGGGAGCACUGGCAUUCCCUAUGGAAAUCUUGAUGGAUAAUUAAGGAAACCCAAUUAGUCCAUCAUGUCCCAGCUGGUGACCUCUGCCGUGACGUGGACACGGAGACCCAACGUACCCGGAACCCACCAGGGGGGCAGCAGGAACCGAGGUGUCCCCCUGCCCACACGCACGCACCUUUGGUGUAGGUGGUAGUAGGGUGUAUCCAGGAAUGGGGACCAGUUUGGCACUGGUGGGACCCCCAUGUCACCCCGUAGGUGGCAGCAUCAUCCCAGUUUGGCACUGGUGGGACCCCAUGUCCCCAUGUUUCAGCCUGUAGGUGACAGUGCCAUCCCAGUUUGGCACUGGUGGGACCCCAUGUCCCCAUGUGUCACCCCGUAGGUGACAGUACCAUCCCAGUUUGGCACUGGUGGGACUCCAUGUCCCCAUGUGUCACCCCGUAGAUGACAGUGCCAUCCCAGUUUGGCACUGGUGGAACCCCCAUGUCACCCCAGAGGUGGUAGCAUCAUCCCAGUUUGGCACUGGUGGGACUCCAUGUCCCCAUGUGUCACCCCGUAGAUGACAGUGCCAUCCCAGUUUGGCACUGGUGGGACCCCCAUGUCACCCCAGAGGUGGUAGCAUCAUCCCAGUUUGGCACUGGUGGGACCCCAUGUCCCCAUGUUUCACCCCGUAGAUGACAGUGCCAUCCCAGUUUGGCACUGGUGGGACCCCCAUGUCACCCCGUAGGUGGCAGCAUCAUCCCAGUUUGGCACUGGUGGGACCCCAUGUCCCCAUGUUUCACCCCGUAGGUGACAGUGCCAUCCCAGUUUGGCACUGGUGGGACUCCAUGUCCCCAUGUUUCACCCCGUAGGUGGCAGCAUCAUCCCAGUUUGGCACUGGUGGGACCCCGUGUCCCCAUGUUUCACCCCGUAGAUGACAGUGCCAUCCCAGUUUGGCACUGGUGGGACCCCCAUGUCACCCCGUAGGUGGCAGCAUCAUCCCAGUUUGGCACUGGUGGGACCCCAUAUCCCCAUGUUUCACCCCGUAGGUGACAGUGCCAUCCCAGUUUGGCACUGGUGGGACCCCCGUGUCACCCCAUGGGUGCCAUCCCAGUUUGGCACUGGUGGGACCCCAUGUCCCCAUGUGUCACCCCGUAGAUGACAGUGCCAUCCCAGUUUGGCACUGGUGGGACCCCCAUGUCACCCCAUAGGUGGUAGCAUCAUCCCAGUUUGGCACUGGUGGGACCCCAUGUCCCCAUGUUUCACCCUGUAGGUGACAGUGCCAUCCCAGUUUGGCUGGUGGGACCCCAUGUCCCCAUGUGUCACCCCGUAGAUGACAGUGCCAUCCCAGUUUGGCACUGGUGGGACCCCCAUGUCACCCCAGAGGUGGUAGCACCAUCCCAGUUUGGCACUGGUGGGACCCCAUGUCCCCAUGUUUCACCCCGUAGGUGACAGUACCAUCCCAGUUUGGCACUGGUGGGACUCCGUGUCCCCAUGUUUCACCCUGUAGGUGACAGUACCAUCCCAGUUUGGCAGUGGUGGGACCCCAUGUCCCCAUGUUUCACCCCGUAGAUGACAGUGCCAUCCCAAUUUGGCACUGGUGGGACCCCCACGUCACCCCGUAGGUGGUAGCACCAUCCCAGUUUGGCACUGGUGGGACUCCGUGUCCCCAUGUUUCACCCCGUAGGUGGCAGCAUCAUCCCAGUUUGGCACUGGUGGGACCCCAUGUCCCCAUGUUUCAUCCCGUAGGUGACAGUGCCAUCCCAGUUUGGCACUGGUGGGACCCCGUGUCCCCACGUUUCACCCCGUAGGUGACAGUACCAUCCCAGUUUGGCACUGGUGGGACCCCAUGUCACCCCGUAGGUGGUAGCAUCAUCCCAGUUUGGCACUGGUGGGACUCCAUGUCCCCAUGUUUCACCCCGUAGGUGACAGUGCCAUCCCAGUUUGGCACUGGUGGGACCCCCGUGUCACCCCAUGGGUGCCAUCCCCGUUUGGCUCAGUCCAGGAGUGGUAGGACCCCAUGUCACCUCCACGGGCACUAGUGGGACCCCGUGUCCCUCUGUGUCACCUCGUCGGUGCCAGCACAAUCCCAGCGUGGCACUGGUGGGACCCCCACCUCCCGCUGUGUCACCCCGUACACAGGUGACAAUCCCAUCCCAGUACGGCCCAGUCCAGCACUGGUGGGCCCCACCACGUCACCCCGUGUCACCUCCUGGGUGGCAGCACCAUCCCAGUUUGUCACAGUCGCUUACUGGUUCGUUCCAUCCCGGUGACCCAACGCUUUAUUUUAUUUCUUUUUUUUUUUUCCGCUUUUUGCCCCUUUUUCACACCAUUUCAGCCCAUUAAAGCUCGUGGGGUGACAUCGCUGGUGGCAUCGCCGCGUCCUGUCGGGGGUGGCACUUGUGGACACGAGUGUCCCCACGGUAUGGGGUGGUUGGGGACGCAGAGGGGGAUGGCACCCCCGGGAAGGACAAGAGGAUCCUGGGGGGGGGGACACCGCGACCCCCAUGGGGACAGGGGUGUCCCCGGGAAGGGGGAGGCACAUUGGGACCCCCAUUAGGACAGGGGUGUC